GCCAGAGAGCAGAGUGGAGCCAGGGAAGGAGGGAAGUAACUGCUUCCCCAUUUACAUGGUUUGGCCUGCACUCCCAGCCAGGGACCCGAGGCGGGGGGAGGGGGGGGGUUGCUGGGCUGCAGCCACCGCCUCCCCCAGCUGUGCACCCCCAGAUCACAACGAUCAGAUCCUACCCUAACUAAGCAUCCUGGAAUUGAGCAAGAUGCCCUGAGCCUUCAGCCCCGCUCCCCCAGGGGCUGCAUUUUGCAAUAAGUCUUCGCCGGUGUCUCCCAGCUCUGUGGGCCCAAACCCCAGAAACAACAGCACAGCUGCGUACGCCCCCCACCCCGCUGGGCCCAGCUGUCCGGGGUGGGGUAUGCCCCCGCCCCCCAGGGGUAGGCCUCCUCGCCACCCCGCACCAGGCCUGUAUGCAGGCGGACAGGGAGUUGUCAGCUAGACGACCGGACACUCCCAUACUGGGAAAAGCUAUGGGCUGAGCCUGCCAGGCACAGCUCCCCUUCCCUCCCCAGCCGAGUCCCCCCACCCUGCCUGCUCCAGGUGCCUCCGCAGAGCCCAGGCGAGGGACACAAGGACCGUAUCUCUUAAAGAGAAAAGACCGGACGCACGUCCUGCUGGAGAUGGGGCCUCAGUUCCUAAAGGGUGGCCUCAAGGUUGCCAGACUGGACACCCGUUGUGGCCUCCUCUCCCCAAGGCUGUGUCCUCGCACUCCCCACCCAGCCUCUCCAGCACCCGUGGGUCCCUCUGCUGGAAGGAGGUGUACAUCUGACACAGCCUGGGGGGCUCCUGGAGAGCUUCCCAGAGGAAGGGGCUGCCCAGAUCCAGAGCAGGGAGAGAGUAUUCUGGAAAAAGGUGGUGUUUGGCCUCCUCUCUGAGCACCUAGCCGUAGGGGCCACUUUUACCUGCCCACACCCUUCCUCCAACUCAGCGUCUGGGCCAACCCAGGCUGCAGAGGCACAAGGGGGAAGCAAGUCCCAGGCUGUCUUAAAUCAGUGAGCCUAAGGUCAGCCGGCUGGCUUAGUUGGAAGGGCGCGCGACUCUUGAUCUUGUGGUCGAGAGUUCGAGCCCCACGUAGGGUGGAGAGAUUACUUAAAUAAAUCAAACUUAAGAAAAAAAAAUCAGUGAGUCUAAAAUUGUGGAGACAGGUCCUGGGCCUCUGCCCAAGAGCCCAGGGACACCUCGGACCCGGGCUACACCUCCAGGCCGCCCUGGCUGUUUCCGCCUCCCUGACUUCCUCUUUCUUGGUUCCCUACAGAAGCUUGGGGAGUGUGCGCAAAGUCCCAGCCUGGAGCCCCGCCUGGACACGCAGACAUGCACCAGCCCGCUCCACUGUCCAUUCCAUGCCCUUUCAGCCCAGGCUGUGGUACUACAGUCUUUCUGGCACAUUCCUUCAGUCCCGGUUUCCGUGAGGCUGCUCCUUCCCCGGGGGAUAGCCGAGUACCAGGUCUUCAUGUGACCUCAGCACUGGACUCCAGGACCACUUUCUCCCUCCUCUGCCCCACCUGACCCCAUGUCCAUCCAAGGAGCAACCGAAUUUCUUCUGUGGAAGGGCCAGCACACCGGGGACGCCCUGGGGCAUCUACUGAAAGCUGAGGGGUUCGGGCCCCUCUACGAGGGUACCUCCUGCAUAAGCCAGCCAGAUGGCCCGGUAAAGUCCUAGGAGCCGACUCAACAGCAAGGUCAGGCCGCUGGGGACCCAGGUUCGGAGCAAGUUAUGUCCUGCUGACCCCUCCCAAGGCUGGGCACAUGCUGGCACACUUCACGUAUGUGCUUAUACUGACCCCUCCAAGCGUUCCUUACGGACAGCACGACGGUCAGGCCACAAAUGCAGGACUCAGACCUGGGUUCAAAUCCCACCUCUGCCACGUAACAGCUGCGUGACUUGGGGCGGCGGGGCAACAGUGAGGGCUCCACUGACAGCAGCCCCUCUUCGAGAGUCAAGAGCAGAGGCCGGGAGGCCACCCCAGGACUUAGAGCCCACGAGGGGUCACACCGCGGCCAACCAAAGCCCUGUCGUGCCAGCAAACCGAGGAGCCCAUGGUGCACCAAAGCCAGCCGCACACCAAGCCGUGCCGAGGAGCACCACACCGCGGAGCCCAGGCCGCCUGGAGCCGUCCAAACGGGUCAGGCCCUUCGGCCACAUCUCUCCCGUCUCCCAAACUCUCUGAUUUCGCAGCCGGCCGGCCGGCCAAGGUUCACACCCACUGCAUGCCAGUCCCUGUGACGGUGAGAGGGGACGUGGUGACGGCUGAACAUGAGUCUGACCUUGAGAAGCUAGGGGGCCUGGUAGGAGAGGUAGACAGGCUCGGGAGUAUUAGUAAGCCCCAUUCGAGCUGCCAAAGACCCUUUUCUGUGGGUUCCUGUCCCAGCAAAGUCAGCGCUUCAGACUCUGAUCUUUCCCAUUCAUUUCCAGAAAUAUUGUGUGUGACACACAGCCACAGUGGGGGUUGCUCCACAGGGACCCCUCAGGAAGGAAGACAUCCCCUCCUUCCCAGCUGGUUACCUCCCUCAGCCAGGUUGCCAGGAUCCCUGCUUCCCCUCAGAGGGAGCUUCUGGCUUCCUGGGGCUAGUGCAGCUAUAACAUGCAGGAAACUUGACACACAGAGACCAGGGAUUCCGGAGAAACGUGAAUGCCCAGAGCAAUGCAAGUAGGGAUGUAUGACAGAGAGGUAGUGCCUGCCUGCCGCACAGGCUUGCGGGGAAGGGGUGUGGGAAGGGAGAGGCCCAAAGAGAAGGAAUGAGGAAGAAGGAGGUCACAUGCUUGGCAAAGGCCAAGGGGUGGGCAGCCCUCAGGAGAGGGGGCCUGUGUGUGCACAGGAAGGGGUGUGAGGGAUGGGGAGAAGGGUGAACAGUCUGGGCAGCUUGGAGCUCUAGGCAAGGGAGGCAGCAAAGCAGGGUGGAAUCCCCAGCCCUACCCUCUACCCCUGUCCUGCCAAAGCAGGGUGGGAUCCAGCACAAUCGCAGCCUCGGCUCCAGCUGAAUGCCCUGGACUUGUUCAAGGCAACGAGGCCGGAACAGCCAGACAGCCUCGUCUCCCACCCCCUCUACACACAACCAGGGGCUCUUUACCGGCCUUGGAUCUGAUGCUGGCUCUCCUGUGCUCGAAUCCUCCAACAGCCUUCCUUGCAAGCACAAUACAAUCCCUCCACCAUGCACUCUGGUGUGGCCCCGUGGACUAGGCCUCUCACCCCUCUGCCAGCACUCACUGGCGCACCAAGCCCUUUCUUGCUCUGGGCCUUUGCACACCUUGCUCCCUCUGCCUGGCAUGCUCUUCCAGCAACUUCCCAAGACAAGCUGCUUGCUGUAGGCACCUCCCCCCUCCCCAAGCCACUCCAGAGCGCCCCGUACUCUUUCUCAGCGCCCUGUUUCUCUCAUAGCACCUAUCACAACUCUUUAGGAUUCUGUGUGUACUGUCAAUCCCUCCCCGCUCUAGAUGGCCGGUUCUCAAGCCGGGGUGUGUGGGGUUGGGGGAGGAUUUUGUCCCCCAGGAGACGUUUGGCGGUGCCUGCAGGCAUUUUGGGUUGUCAAGACAUGGGGGUGGGAGAGGUUACUGGCAUCUAAUGGGUGGGGACCAGGGAUGCUACUCAACAUCCUACAAAGCACAGCAGAGAAGGAUCGGCGAGAAGUGUCAACAGCGGCCGGGCUGAGAAAAGCUGCAGAAGAGCCUACGAGAACUGGGACCCCGGCGGCGCUCAACGAACGCAAGAAGAAGGAAUGAAUAAAGAAGGGGAGAAUGGGGCAAUGGGGCAAGCGACGGACAGACGCCGAGACCCCGGCCCGUGUCGGCCCCGCCCCCCCAGGCCCGACGCCUCCGCGGACCCCGAAGCGCCUACCGCGCGGCCCCGAGGCGCGAGCCCCGGGCCGGGCGCGCCGCGCGGACACUCACCCGCCCGCGGCCGCCCGGGAGCGGCAGCGAUACCCUCCCGCUUCAUCGUGCCCCCGCGGCCGCUGGCCGGGAGACAGACCGGACGCGCGAGCCGGAAGCGCUGAGGCGCUACGCCCGCCGGGACUUGUAGUUCUCCGUCUCUCAAUGCCUGGGUCCCCGCCUCACGCGCGGCUCUCCAGAAACUACGAAUUCCGGCGGCUCCGACGUCGCGGGGCGGGAUUGGCAGCUUCAGAAUCACUCUAUGUUGCAGAUCGGAGUCUGAUUGGUUCUGUGCAUCUGUCGCUCACAGUUAAGUUCCAAGGCCUCUGCUAAAGGGAGAAGCUUCGCGAGUCUGGUUCAGGAGACCGGGGGCGGGUACUUCCGGCAUGAUUGCCCAAUCGCAGAGGUGGGGCACUUUCUAUAAAAGCUUCAGCCUCGGGCGCGUGCUUUCUUUUGGGAAGCCAGUGGCGGCCGUGGGCGUUUUUCUGUGCGGUCGCUACGAGUCCACGUUAGGGGAGGAUCUGGGCCCCGAAUGGGGCUGAGGGGUCCUCCAGGGCCAUCAUCCGCCGGGGCUCCGCCUCUGUCUUCAGCGUUGUACGCGUUCCUUGCUCCGCCCGCCUUCAACCCCCCCCCCCCCCCCCAUCGGUCCCGUUCUGUUGGGAAGGUGCGACUUCAGACCGACUUCUCUCCGCAGGGCGGUCGGUGACGUGGUUGGAGACCGUGGACGUAAAUGAACGUCAGCCCGGGGCCUGGUGGUAAGGCGGGAGUCCACGUCCGUAUCUGCGGCGCUUAACAAUAAAGCAGAGGUGGUGAGUUGAUGGGAGCGCAAGUGUCUUUAUUUUCACACGCGUUUGCUCCCCAGAGGACUCCGCGGGAGGACUGGCUCGUUCCGUGGCAGUCUUGGGAAAGGGUAGAGAAAGAUGGAUGUUCACACGGUGACCUUUCAACUAUUGGGAUGCCUUCUCGGUUUUUUUGCCUGUAAGAGCAGAAAUCCCGGGGCGGAGCCGGGGUCUUUGUCUUAAGCAGGUGAGGAACUCUUCCUCCUCACCGGCCACAGAGCACUGUUUUCUGUUUCGUUGGGUCUUGCAGAGGGAAGUGGACAUCAACCACCCAACCACCUAGGUUCCCCGUGCUCCCUAGACAGCAGCCCUAGUUGAGGGUACUACGCUCUUAGCGUUGUCCUCAACCCCUACUUUGCCGAGGGCGCAAAGAAGGGGAUUUCUUGUAACAGAAGAGACCGGCAGUCCAGAAAACACAACUUUAUUCACCAGGACUGAAAACAAAGACUCUUAACCUAGAGACCUAUGAGCUGGAGCACACUGCCAGCCUCCUGGCUUGACCUCACUCUGCACAGGCCUCAGCUGGGCUGGCAGUUCUAGUUUUCCUGACGGUUUCUGAUUUCCCACAUGCCGUUCGUGUAUUAGAAAGCCGCAAACUUGUCCUCCAGGCAACACGAGAGGAAGACCCUGCUGAUGUUUGAACCAGAGUCUCUGAGUGUGUGGGCUGGCAGCUUUGGUCCUUGGGGCACAGAUGCAUGAUUGGAUGUGCAGCGAAGCCCUCUGCCCCAGGCACGGACAGGAGUCCGGCCUUUCCCUGCCUGGGCAGCGGGUGCCGCUGAAGACAUGGCUUUUGAGGGGUUAGGCACUGUACACGUGGCGCUGGCACCAGGGUCCAGCCUUGAAGCUGGGCGCGUCCAGGAGAGGGCAGCAGAGUGCCGUGGCAGCAAGACCAGGCUCCCCGCAUGGGCUUUACAUUGUGGGGUGUCUCCUGUACGGGAAGCCGUUGCUUCUCCAUCAAGGCCUUGGGGGCAAGGCCCUGAGUCAGGGGCUGCAGACCCACUGGCUCCAUGAAGCCUGUUGGAACUGAGGCUCUAGGGAAAGACGAGGCUCUGUCUGGGAGUCCCAGAAACGGCCGCCCUCGAGUUGACUGCCAGGUGACCCUCUGUCCAGCCUUGCAGGGGCCUCCCAGAGGAUGUGCAGUGGCAGUGCCCAGUCAGGUUCAGGGUCUGCAGCAGGAGGCCCCUCGGCCCUCCCUCUUGACGUAGUCGUGCAGCCGGAAGCGAGGCUCACUGGGGACCUUCAUGGAGCGCUGCUUCAACUCCCUGUGGGGCAGAGGAGACCAUGGGACAGCUUCCCCCACCAACAGAUUCAGACUCUGGGUCUGGAGGAUCUUCCUGAUGACUACCAGCACUUACUUUGCUACGGCUGUGAAGGCCAAGUCUACGUUGAGGCCUGUCUUGGCGCUGGUCUCCAUGAAGGGCAGCCCGUACUCCUGCAAACAGCUGCUGCCAGCCAGGUGGCAGCCUGGUGGAGAUAGCCCAGGCCCUGCAACCCCAGGGACGCUCCCCGGACACCCACCCCACCCCGGCUCACCUUAGCCAAUUUCUCCCCAUCCUCCCUUUUCACCACACGCUCCUGGGCAGAGUCCACCUGGCAUGGGGGGGUGGGUCUUGGUGAGAGCUGGCCCAGGGCUUACCCUACCACCCCUGCCCCCAUACAGAGCCACGGUGGAGAGGAUGGGCUGGGGUGCCCACCUUGUUCCCCAGCAGCAUGAGCACCACGUCAUGUUGGGCGUAAUCCUGGAUCUCCGUCAGCCAGGCCUGUGGGGGAAAAGCUGAGACCAGGCUGGAGGCUGGCACUCUGCUCGCCCCUUGCCCCUCCAGGCCUCACGGCUUGGGGUGCCCGUUGGGCUCUGGCUAAUAGGAAGGCCCAGAAAUCGAGGUCCCCGGGUCCUGUUGAGGCACCCUCGACAAGCACCUUACCCAAGGUGUUGGACUGACAGAGCUGGAAGGUCCUCGGACUCCCUUCAGCUCACACUCCACCUGAGCCACCAGAGGGGCCGUCUCCCUGCCGUCGGUAGGGUCCUUAGCCCCCUGGGACCCCAAUGCCAUCACGGCCUGUUUCUGCCACCACCACCAGGAAGGAAACCACUGACCUGGAUAUUGUCAAAGGAGGCCUUGUUGGUGACAUCAUAGAGCAGCAGCAGUGCUGGGGGCAGAGGACGAGUGAGGACACCUCCAGGGCCCACCACAGCUUCUUGUCACCCACACCCACACGCAUCACAGCCUCCACACUUCCUGCCAUGCUCCUGCCCAGGGCACCCUCCUCCGUGCAGAAGCCAGGGAAACCUGACACCCGCGAGAGCACAGCCUCUGACUCCCCGGGACUGGCGUCCCCCACCCACAAGCUCACCAUGAGCAUCGCGGUAGUAGGCGUGGGUGACGCUCCGGAACCGCUCCUGGCCAGCUGUGUCCCAGAUCUGGAGUGACAGGCACAGGGCCGCCAGUUCCUCCUGGGUGUUCACUACCCUCAACCCUCUGCCCCCCCCGCUGCUCCCCACACCACUCACCUGCAGCUUCACCUUCAUGCCAUCCACAUCCAGAACUUUGUUCUGAAAUAACAACCAGCCCGGUCCAGCAACCAACAGCUAGAACACUGCUGCCCUCCGGUGGGGAGCUGCCAGCUUCCCCCCUCACCGCGCCUCCUGCACCUCCCCCUGGCUCCUGCCGAGGGCUGAAGAAGGCUCUAGUGCUCCCUACCCAACUGGCAAACCUCUUCUUAAUCUCCCCCGUCCUCCUAAAAGAGAAGACCCACAGACCCUGGGGGUGCGGAAGGCAGCAUAUGGGAAAUGGUGAGACUGGGCCCCGCGCGGGGGCGGGGGCGGGGGCGGUGUCAUUCGGGACCCGGGACGGAGCACCUGCCAGGUCUGGGACCCUUUGUCCAGCCCUGCCAGCUGUGGCGUUAGGGGGCAGACCUUGCCAGCUGUUGGGUAUCUGAAAUCCGGGUCUGAAGGCUGUGUGUGUAUGCCGUGCACCGUGCCAGCUGCUGGAUGCCGCUCCGGCGGGCUCCCCGCCGAGGGUCUGCGGGGCCCUGCAUCCCCUCCCCGACCUCUCCCGGCUCGGCUCGGGCGGAGCGCCACCUGCUGCGCUCGCCUGGGGCGGGGGCCGGCUCACCUUGAAGGCGACAUCGUAGAAGUCGCCGCCGCCAAGCGAGGGCCGGCCGGGCUGCGGGGGUCCGUUGGGCCGCGCCUGGGGGCCGGGGCGUGCAGUCCCUGGGCGCGCCGGCCGGGACCCGUCGGCCGCAGGCAGCGCGGAGGCAGCGGGCCCGCUGGCCCCCUUCCUCUUGGGGGUCUUCUUCCUGGACAUGACGGGCGGGCGCUCAGGGAGCUCCCGCUGCAGCCGCCGCGCCCCGGGCCGCUCUGCUGCCCGCGCCCGCCGAGCGCGACACGGACCCGAACCCGUCCCGCGGCGGCGGCGGCGACGGCGGCGGCAUCGCGGGCGCCAGGCUCCCCGCAGCCCCGCCCCCGCGCCCCACAGCCCGCAGCCACUCAGGCCCGGCCUCCCCUCGCCGCCGCCAAUGGCCGCGCUGGGGCGGGGGCAUGCAAAUGAGCCGGCCGCCCUGGGGCGGGGUCACGAGGCGCAGGCCCUGCCCUAUAGGUGCUCCGGGUGGGCUCGCGUCCGCCCGGUGCGUGCAGCUCCCGCCCUGCCCCAGGCCCUGCGACCUCACUCCGUGGCCACCUCCGUGAGGCGGUGGGUCUGGGUGAGGCGGGAUCCUGUCGUUUUCCCGCUUGUACCCCCCCCCCCCUGCUCCUUGCCCAGUGACCCUCACUGGACGGCCUCUGGGCGUGGGACGAGAGGAUUGCCCGAGAAGGGGGCGCUGAGGCAGUGGGACUGCAUGGGGUGGACACGCUGGGUUUCUGUCCCUUCUCAGCCAGAGAUGCCACCUGGUCUGCUGCGCCCUCACUUCUCCCCUUAGGGCAGGCAAACAAACCCGGGAUGGGGGGCUCCCAGUGCUCUGGGCUCAUCUGACGGCUGGUUACCAGAGGCAGGACACAGCUAGCACUUGAGAGCCGCAGGGCGCCCUCCCCCGCAGCUUCUGCCCGCUGGGCUGAAGCCUCAGGACCCUUGGGUAAAGGGAAAUCCACCUUAGGGCAGUAGCAAGCCCUCUGAGGGGCCUUUUCCCUGGGGCUCUGCCCUCAGGGGUCUGGGAGGAGAAGGGGCUAGGAGGUUCCUCCCCCAGAAUGUGGCUAGCCUCUUGCCCUUCUGGUGCCAGGUUCUGGCCCCAAGGGGGCCAAGUGCUGACUGUCCAAAUCCCAUGCUAGGCCCUGGCAGACCAGCCUCCAGAGCCUGACACCUCCUCUCCGCCUGAACUGUCUGUCUCCACCCAAGAGUCUCUGGGUUUUGAGAAUGAGGCUGAGACAGUCAUGGAAUCCCAGGAGCAGUGAGCCAACAUGCCCCUCACCUAGGGCUUGGGGGCAGCGGGUGUAGGCACAAAGGCAUUUCUUCGGGGAUCAGCCUUUGCUCCAUACCGCUCUGGGAGCUGGAGGGUUGGCCUGGCUGUCCCCUAAGAUGUGACAGCUGACACAUGGACCCUAGGUCCUUCAGAGGCCUGAGCCCUCUCAGCUGGCAGGUGCCAAAGCCCAAAUAAUUAUAAUAGACAGAAGAUGCCUCUAGGGCUCAGAGAUUGGGGACAACACAACAGAGUGAUUUUCCAAGAGGGGCUGGCAAGGCCCUUCACGGGAGAGGCUGUGGAAAUCGCCCUUUCCCGAGUGUCACUGUGUGCCAGGCACAAGUUAUCCUCAAACCUAUCCUGUGAAGCGAGUAGUGCUAUGAUCCCCAAUGUUCAGAUGGGAAAACUGAGGCCCAGAGACGGAAAGGGAGCUGUCCAAAAUCACCAGGCUAGAAAGUGACAGAGCCGGGGUUUGUACCUAACUCUUGGCUCCGGAGAACAUACACUGCCCCUUGGCAGGGUUGGCCCAGGAUUCUCUGGAGACCCAUCCCUCAGGGCCCUGGCAGAGCCGGGGGGACAAGCCUGAGGAAGCCCUCUGAGGGCCUACUCUCUUGUCUCACUCCUCUUCUUCCAGGCCAAUGCAGAUGUGUGGGCAGUGGGGCUUGGGGUGGGAAUGUGGAGCUCCCACUGCUGGGGCCCUGGGGAUUCCAGGUGACCUACCCUCCAUGAGGCCAACUUCAGGGUAGCCGCCCCAGGGUCUCAGCCAGUGCCCACUAAGCCCAGGAUCCAGGGCGACCAGAAAGGAGUCUGGGGUGCCCGAGGGGUGGGGGCUGUAGGUAAGGCAGCCUGAGUCGAGGGUGGGGCUAAUGCUAAUGGGGUAAUGGGAAGAGGGAAGGUAGCAGACACUUCGGAGAGACUGGGGGGCCAGGAUGGGCGGGAAGCUGAAAGCAGCAGAAAGGAAAGACUUGACCUUGUAACCUUUAGAAUCAGAGUAUGUGUAUGUAAAAACCCAGGUCUCCGGUUUGUUUUGAAGAGAGAGUUCGAGGUCCCUGGACCACAGCAUCCCUCCUGCCGCUCCUGCCUUCCAGCAGUCCUCCUAAUCUUUGAUCAUUAUGUCCCUUGGUUCCUCUGUUCGCCAUCUGUCUCAUUCCCCGGAAUGAAGUUCUCUGGGUACAGGAAGCAGCUUGUCUUGGUCACUGCCAUAUUCCCGGCAGCUGGCUCCAGGCCUCAAUAAACUAUUAUUAAAUUCGUGAAAGAAAUAUGAGUUAGAAACGGGCCCCACUUCAGGAGGACACGUCAUUGCCAGCAAGGAUUUAAGGCAGAAGGUACGUCCGUGUGCAGUGAGGCAGGACUAGCGUUACCGAGUAGUGAGAGCAGGGCCUUGUGGAGGAGGGGCAUUUGCUCCAGGCUCAGAAGGUUGAACGGGAGUCCAGCAGGAGAGGACACAGAGAAACUUGCCAGGUAGAGGAGUGAAUACGUAUAAGCUCAGAGUGCCAGUGGGUGGGCUUUUGGAGAGGAGGCCACAGUGUCGUGUCCUGAUGCUUGGAGAAAAUCUCAUCGGUAACACAGGAGGGGGCUAGAUUCGCAAGUGAAUGUGAAAGUUCAGCCUAGGGGCUUGGAAAUUGUUCGGCGAGAAGUAGGGAGCCAUGCACAGUUGCUGAGCAAAGCCAACAGAGGACUUUGCUACAGGGGUACAGGAGGUAAAGUGGAGGGGGUGCAGGGUGCCGCCUGUAGAUGGGGAGAUGAGUUGGAAAGGGGUGGCAGGAACCCAGGGUGGGGGGAAUCAGCCCCUGGGGCAGAGGCAGCACAGCGCUGAGGUACACUAAGGGGCGACUUCUCUGCCACCCCUCCCGAUCAGGAGGGAAGGCCUCGGUCUCCUGCCUUUGGGUCUGUGAUUGCUCUGACCAGUACUUAUGGCUGAAGUGGCCCUGUGUCCGUUUCUGGACCCAGACCUUCCAGACUAGCAGCUCCUACAUCCCUUCUCCUGAAACACUCAUUCUUGGGCCCCAGCUGACAUACCGUGAGAAAGUCCAAGCAGCCUUGUGAAGAAUCCCGGGUGGAAAGGAACUCACUUGCCGCCCGUGGAGGACAGGAGUUGUCCUGGCAACGGGCGCUUAGUUCUGGUGGGUUCCAUGCGGAGCAGGGAUGAGCUAACCCCACUGAGCCCUGCCCAAACUGCAUUUGGGGGAUUUUUGUUCCACAGAAAUAGAUAACUAGAACAGGCUGCCAGCCAGGGGAAGGAAGGGGGCCAGUUUGGUGGGAAAGGUCAGCAGGCUGGCCUUGACCGGACUUGGGGAAGCCCAGACUGUUGGGAUCUUCAGGCCUGCAAAGAAGACCUCUGGGCCUCCAGGGCAGGUCCCUGAGGCAGGGUGUGGCGCUGAGGUGAGUGCUGAGGCUGAGCUAGAGUGCGGAGUGAAGGAAGGGUGCCUGUGGGCCUAACCCUCCUCGCAGGGGGCUGGUUCUGCUGGCCAGAGAGGGUGGACACAUAUCUGUGUCUCAGCAAAGGGAGAGAGCAAUCCCAGAUAUGUUCCCGCCUCACUCCUGGAUCCUCCCUCCAGCACCCUGUGGCGGCCUGGGUUCCUGAUGCCUUCUUGUGCCUGGGCCUCCAGCUCCGGGCAUGCUGCCCUCUGACUUGCCCAUGACAGACCCUCUGUCAUGGAGUGACGUGUGCCAUGAGUACCCAGACACAACAACUCUCUGGGACCUACGGCCUGAGGCAAUCCCUCUCUGGAGCCCCAUUUUCCAAGCCGGCCAGCCUUACCGACACAUUCUGCUGACCCACGGGGCCAUGGUCCUGGAGCCAGGCAGUCUUCCUCGUCCUUCCAGGCACUGCUUGGAGCCCCCUCCUCCAGGCAGGCAGCCUUCCAGGCUCCUCCCACCCCCACUCCUUGCUCUACAGACACGCUGUGGACACACAUUUGCUCCCCAAGGGUCCCUCAGGAGGCUGCAUGGCCUCCGCACCAGCCUCUGAGCUUCCUGAGGACGGCACCCGUCCUGUCUCCACCAAGCACUCAAUGAACAGCUCAAACACCUUAUGCUCUAUGAAAUCCACGUGAGCGUUGCCAUGGAGACGGCAGAGAGGAACUGUAGCAGCUCCCCCCAGAAGACAGAAGAGAGAGUCACCCCAGGAAGCGGCUGAUGUCAGAGGUGUGCUCGCCCCCUCCCCCCAGUGCCAAGGUGCACAGGGGCCACGCUGAGCCCCUGCUCCCUCCUGCUCCCGCGAGGCUGAGAGGAGACACCCCGCCUGCGGCACUCACCUGGGUUGCACCCAGGCCCUCCCCGACAGGACAGGUGGUAAGGGGUGGGUGUCCGCCCGUUGGGGCAGGGACUAUUGUGUGAGGGCUGGAGCAGUGGGCGGUCUCCCUGCAAGCCUGACUGCCCUCUGCCAUCCCUUCCCCCCGUGGCUCAGGUACUCAGACCUGAGUGCUCUUGGCGGUCCGUCUCAGGAUGCAAAAUGGGCCUGAGCCCCGCGGGCUGCUGCUCGGUCCGACUCUGCACUCAGGCCCCGGGCCGGUGAGACCUCUGUCUGGAGGAGCACAGGACAGCCCCCCACUCCAGGCUCUCCGGGCAACCUUUGAGUGCUGUGCUCGGAGGCAGAGGUAUAAAGGAAUAAAACGGAUACCUGUGUAGCCAUGACAACGGCAGCAGUCCGAGCACCGGCUGCGCCUGGUGUGGGCCAGUGAUGCACUCGCCUUGUCUCUCCUUUUCUCCUUAAUUAUGAAAGUGAUCUGUGACUUCCGCCCACGAGAAAUAAAAGUGCUUGGAGCG